AUAGUUUAAUUCUAGCUAAAAUUUUAGUACUUUCUUGGUUCUAUAUGCUUACUUUAUAAAGAAAUAAAUUGAAUGUGAAUAGUAUGUGUAUAACAUAUGCAUGGCAGUAGAUAAACUUAUUUAUGCGUAACUACGUGAAAUUGUUGAAGAUUGGAUAAUUUAGCCAAUAUUGUGCCAGCAGCAGCGGUUAGACAAUAGAAACCUUAAACAUAAAAAUUUUAUUAUGGUAAUAUAGAAAAAAAGUUGAGGUAAAAUUCAAUAUAGUUGAGCUUAUUUUACUAAUCUAAAGAUCUAAAUCAAAACAAGGAUUAGAUACCCUUUUAUUUUUAUUCAAUAUAUAAAUUGGGGACUACGAGCUAAGCUUAAAAACCAAAGAAUAUGGCGGUAUUUCAUUUAAUCAGGGUGACAUGUAUCUUAAUCUGACAACCCACGAUUUUAAUUCCUAAUUUUGAACUACAGUAUGUGUACUGCCGUUAUAACAUAAUCCUAUAGGGUUGUGUAAGAGAUAUAAAUCAUUAUAUAGAUAGUCAGGUCCAAGCACAGCUAACAAUUAGGUGAGAAUGUGUUACAUUUAUUUAAACAUUCAGUUUGUUUAUUUAAAUAUAAACAUAAAGAAGAACUUGAUAGUAAUUGUGUUAAUUAAGCUCAAUGAAAUUAAUUAGAAAUAUGCACAAAUCGCCCGUCACUCCUUUAUAAAGGAUAAGUCGUAACAUAGUAGAUGUAAUGGAAAUUGCAUCUAU
rnacentral:ncRNA from 1 species